rnacentral:rRNA from 1 species
UACGAAGGGGGCUAGCGUUGCUCGGAAUUACUGGGCGUAAAGGGCGCGUAGGCGGCCACCGCAAGUCGACUGUGAAAUCUCCGGGCUUAACCCGGAAAGGUCAGCCGAUACUGCGGGGCUAGAGUGCAGAAGGGGCAACUGGAAUUCUCGGUGUAGCGGUGAAAUGCGUAGAUAUCGAGAGGAACACCUGCGGCGAAGGCGGGUUGCUGGGCUGACACUGACGCUGAGGCGCGAAAGCUAGGGGAGCGAACGGG